rnacentral:tmRNA from 1 species
GGGCUUGUACUGGUUUCGACAGGGAUCUCGAAGAUGGAGAAGCUAUCCGUAGGCUGAUGCGUUAAAUCGCAAACUUAAAAUUAAACGCUAACGAUAAUUUCGAAUUAGCUGCAGCCUAAAUGCUGCAUGUCAGCCCUGAAGCACUCACACUUUAGGAAUCUGGCACCGACUAUGUGAGAAACGAUGACGGCAAAGCUUUGAGCUGUCAGGCGUAUUAUGAAGCUACUGAACCCGUAAGGAUGUUAGUUUUCGUACGGCAGAGGGAAUGUCAAAUAACUGACUAUGAUAGUAGAAGUACAUGGGACAGGUUUUUGGACGCGGGUUCGAUUCCCGCCAGGUCCACUU